rnacentral:ncRNA from 1 species
UAUAAAGUUUUAUUUUAGCUUAAAAUUUUAUUGUUAAUUUAUUUUAUAUGUAAAUUUUUGUGUGGAUUUAAUAUAAUUUAAAAAAUUUUAUUAUAAAAAUUAUUCGCAGUAAUUAAUAUUAUUAAUUAAAGAAAUUUAGAAAUAGUUAUAUUAAAAAGUAUUGGUUAAAUUUGUGCCAGCAGCCGCGGUUAUACAAAUAAUACAAAUAAAUUUUAUUAGUUUAAGUUAAAUUGAAUUUAUAAAUUUUUAAAAAUAAAUUUAUUAAGUGAAAUUUUAAAUUUAUUAAAUUUUUAAAUUAAAAAAUAUUAAAGCUUGAAAAUUUUAUUUAAAAACUAGGAUUAGAUACCCUAUUAUUUAAAAUGUAAUUUUUUACUAAAGUAGUAUUAGAUAUGUUCUUGAAAUUUAAAAAAUUUGGCGGUAUUUUAGUCUAUUUAGAGGAAUCUGUUUUAUAAUCGAUAAUCCACGUUGGACCUAACUUAAAUUUGUUAUCAGUUUAUAUACCGUUGUUAUAAGAAUGUUUUAUAAGAAUAAUAAUUUUCUAUAAUUUUUAUUAAAAUUUAUAUCAAAUCAAGGUGUAGCUUAUAUUUAAGAAAAAAUGGAUUACAAUAAAAUUAUUUUUGGAUAUAAAUUUGAAAUAGUUUAUUGAAAUUGGAUUUAAAUGUAAAAUUAUAAAGAUUAAUAAUUUGAUUUUAGCUCUAAAAUAUGUACACAUCGCCCGUCGCUCUUAUUAUUAAGGUAAGAUAAGUCGUAACAUAGUAGAUGUACCGGAAGGUGUAUCUAGAUUGA